AGGACUGAACCCAAGGUCACCCAAAAGGUGAUCUAUUUUGUGAAAAAUGUGCUUGGACAUUUUGUCCACUCCUAUGUUUUUAGGCCCUUUCAGUCGUCGGAUUAGGAGCAGGCCUGAUUGAAGCAGUGGUCGUCAAUCCCUUUGAAGUUGUCAAAGUCAGUCUACAAGCAAAUCAGAAUGCAUUUGCAGAGCAACCUUCAGCGUUUGGCUAGGCACGGAACAUGAUCCACACCAAUGGGUUUGGCUUGCAAGGCCUCAACAAGGGGCUGACCUCUACCCUGGGUCAUCAUGGUGUGUUCAGCAUGAUCUACUUCGGGUUCUACUUCAACAUCAAGAACAUGUUCCUAGCCUUUCAGGUAUUUAACAUCGUAUAAGGGAUUGGUACCCACAGGAGGUGCAGUGAUGCUGCUAGUUUAUGAAUACACAUGGCUGGCUGCAGAACUACUGGUGAAGGAAAGCCAGUCACCCAGAGGAAGUCUUAAUAAUUUGAAGAUGUUACAUAUGAUGUUAAUCCACAAAAGCAGCAACUAUUUUUAGGAGUUAUUUUCCAUUUUAAAGCUAUUGAAUACUGUAGAAAUUAUACAGGAGAUGUUUUUUUUUUUUUUUUUUCCAUAUAGAGAUACAGCAUCCCCUUUCUUUACCCAAAAUCAAAUAAUGUGUUCUGGAAACUAACACAUGGUUUCCGUAUACCAACUUCUGUAUACAACGUCUAAUUCCAGGUUUGGCACAGCUCUGUAAGUACUUAAUUGCAGCUGAUUAAAACACAUGCCAGUUCCAGAAAACGUUAGUGCAACAAAAGAAAAGUAAAUAACUCGUGCCAGACAACAAUGAACUUAAGUGCUGGAGUUCAAGUUUUUGGUAUGAUUUUAGUUUUUAAGCAAAUCCGCUUUUUGCUGUGUUAAGUGGGUGCUGCCUGUUUAGAUAAAGCAUGAUUGAAACUUAAACUUAGUGAACAAACAUUUUUUAACAUUUUACUCACGUUUUAGGUCUCUUUUAAAUGUUUUACCUUUCUUCAAUUCAGCCUUAUGGAACUUCUCAGGGAACCAGUCUUUAAAAAAAAAAAAAAAAAAACUUUAGUAUCUGUCAGUAUAGCUUUAAAGCUGUUCUGUAAAAGUUAGAAGAACAGCAUCAUUAUCUGUGUAACAGUAUAGUUGGUUCAGACUUGCCUUAUCUAAUUACCUCCUUGAAGACAGUUUAUCCUCUUUAAGCCAUGCAUUAUUUUGUGCUUUACUGCAUUUUAAUUCCUGACCUGAUGCAAUUUUUACAUAGCAAAAAUAAAUAAAUAAUAAAAUUGUUUUUUUAAUAAAUGUUAUACAGGUUUAAUUCAACAGAAGAAAGUGGCUUAUGCUUCUACUCUGAUUUAUAGCAAGAAUAACAAUUUAACCACAAUGCCUAAUAUAAAACAAUAAAUAUGGUAUCACUUUUAUUGUAGAAAUAAAUAUUGAUGCUGGACACUGUAUCAAAAUUGAUCAUAUGCCAUGCUGCAUGGAUAUUGUUUUAGGCCAAAUCUGUCAUGAAUCUGCUACAUGCAAAAGGAUUCUCUUAUGUUUCAAAGGUCCAUUAUCGCCCAGUAAUGAACCUGAAGUUAGCUGUUUGAUCAUGAAGUAAACAUUAAUAAUCAACAAUUCACACUUAACUCUCAGGCUUACUGUUGAUUCAUUGUGCAGAAGCACUGAAAGAAACAGAGUAGUAGUAGAGUCUCCAUUAUAAAAGUGCACUACAAUUAUGUUUUCCCAUGGUUGUAAUAUGCAUUUAUCCUAGUUUGCCAUGUUUUUAUUAUGCUGUACUGUAGAUCUCUUGGCUUUGUCAUGCUUACCUGUUUACUCUGCUUUCACUUUGCUUUUUUACACUUUGAUAUAAAUAGUAGCUGGGUGCUAAUAUGAAUAAGUGCUGAAAGGAUCAUUAAUUGAUUGUUCAUUAUAAUUGAAUAUUAAAUUAUGUAAUUGAUUAACUCCCUCAAACUGCAAGAGGUGAAUUGUGCUGUGGAAUGUUGCUGGAUACAGUCAGAUACUGAAAAGGACCAAUACAGUUACAAACCAUCAACUUAUAAAAAUAAUACUUUUAUUUAACGAAAAAGCUAUUUUGCGAUGAAAAUAUGUUUACAAGAUUGGGACAAAGACAGUAGUCUUAUCAUUGUAUGUAUUUGUUUGCUUGUUGGGAGUAGUUGAUUUUCACAUUGGUAAGAAAUGUAUGAAUUUGUCUAAAGGCAGCUUUGAUCAGAAACCAGAGGCCAUUCUAUAAUAAAAAUACAAUUGUUUUAAAAAAAAGUUAUGAUUUUUACAUUAUUAGAAACACUUGAUGAAAUUAGUCUUCUUGUCUACAGUUGGACAUGCCUUAUAUUGUUUUUAUAAUUAUCGCCCACUUGCAAUGCAUAUUCCAGGUGACAGGAAGCAG